GAUGAACGCUAGCGGCAGGCCUAACACAUGCAAGUCGAGGGGCAGCACAUAAAGUGGUUUACUACUUUUGGUGGCGACCGGCGGACGGGUGCGUAACGCGUAUGCAACCUGCCUCCAACAGGGGGAUAACGGAGAGAAAUUUCCACUAAUACCCCAUAAUAUCAGAAUCGGCAUCGGUUUUGGUUGAAAACUCCGGUGGUUGGAGAUGGGCAUGCGUUGUAUUAGAUAGUUGGUGAGGUAACGGCUCACCAAGUCAACGAUAAAUAGGGGGACUGAGAGGUUAGCCACCCACACUGGUAGUGAGACACGGAGCAGACUCCUACGGGAGGCAGCAGUGAGGAAUAUUGGUCAAUGGGGGCAACCCUGAACCAGCCAUGCCGCGUGCAGGAAGACGGCUCUAUGAGUUGUAAACUGCUUUUACAAGGGGAUAAAUCGGUGUACGUGUACACCGUUGAAGGUACCUUGGGAAUAAGGAUCGGCUAACUCCGUGCCAGCCGCCGCGGUAA
rnacentral:rRNA from 1 species